rnacentral:rRNA from 1 species
AGGAAGUAAUAAAAAUAAAACCUAUUUAUACCGGCGGCAUUUAUCUUUAGAGGAACUUGUUUAAUAAUCGAUAACCCACGUUAAAUUUCACUACAACCAUUAAUUUAUAUACCGCCAUUAUAAGAGUUAAUACAAAUAUAUAUUCUAAUUAAAACAUAAAAAAUUAGGUCAAGGUGUAAUUCAUAUUGAAGAAUAAAUGAGUUACAAUAAUUUAAAUUUAAGGAUCAUAUUUUUAUAAAUUCAUAUAAAAUAGAAUUUAACAGUAAUUUAAUAAUUUAAUUUUAAAUUAAUUUAAAAUUAAUGUGC